UGGUUUCUAAGGGGAGGGUGAGGGGGUCCCCAUUCCGCCACUUAAGUGUGCGGCGAGUAUAUUUACUUAAUUAUGUAGUUAAAUAGUUAGUUUAAAAGAUAGUCAAACGGUUAUAGUUAAUUAGUUAGCUAGGUCGUUAGAUGGUUAAUUACUAAAAGUUAGUCAGUUAGGUAGGAAGGCAGAUAGUUAAGUAAUUAGUUUAAUGAUAGUCAAACAGCUAGAUAGAGAGUUAGCUGGUUAGAUUGAUAGUUAGAUAGUGGAUCAUUCUUUUUUCAGUAUUUUGUGUUUUUAUAUUUUUUUGCUGCUGUGUGUUGAUCUUGGUGUUCUGUUUGUAUACUGUAAUUUUUAAUGUCCUGUUUUUUUACAACAUCCUUUUUUGGUGUCUUAUUUAUAUCUUAUUCCCCUUUUUGCUGUUUAUUUUUUAUAUCAUUCAUUUUAUGGAAUUCUGUGUUGGUCUGGAUGAGCCUCUUUGUCCCCAUAAAAGACUCACAAGUAAUUUGGUUGAUGUUGAUGUUAGAGGAAAAAAGUGGAUGAUGUGUGUUUGUAUUGUAGUAUAUUUAUAUUUGAUUAUACUAUAUGUUAUUUAUUUAUUUAAUUGUUUAAUUUGUUUAUUUUAUUUUAUUUUAUUUAUUUAUUUAUUUGGUUGGUUGGUUUGAAUUCGGAGUUUUCCUUCUCCUAGGAGGACUGCCUACCACGGCUAACGACCUCCUCCUGCCCGGGUUUGUGGUCAGAGUUGUCCUUCUCCUAGGUGAACUGCCUUACGCUAACGAGCUCCACCAGCCCGGGUUUGUAAUCGGAGUUUGCUCUCCUAGGUGAACUGCCUUACGCUAACGACCUCCACCAGCCCGGGUUUGUUGUUCGGAGUUUGCUCUCCUAGGUGAACUGCCUUACGCUAACGACCUCCACCAGCCCGGGUUUGUUGUUCGGAGUUUGCUCUCCUAGGUGAACUGCCUUACGCUAACGAGCUCCACCAGCCCGGGUUUGUUGUUCGGAGUUGUCCCUCUCCUAGGUGAACUGCCUACCACGGCUAACGAUCUCCACCUGUCCGGGUUUGUUGUUCGGAGUUUUCCUUCUCCUAGGAGGACUGCCUACCACGGCUAACGAUCUCCACCUGUCCGGGUUUGUUGUUCGGAGUUUUCCUUCUCCUAGGAGGACUGCCUACCACGGCUAACGACCCCCUCCUGCCCGGGUUUGUUGUCAGAGUUGUCCUUCUCCUAGGUGAACUGCCUUACGCUAACGACCUCCACCAGCCCGGGUUUGUAAUCGGAGUUUGCUCUCCUAGGUGAACUGCCUUACGCUAACGACCUCCACCAGCCCGGGUUUGUUGUUCGGAGUUUGCUCUCCUAGGUGAACUGCCUUGCGCUAACGAGCUCCACCAGCCCGGGUUUUUUGUUCGGAGUUGUCCCUCUCCUAGGUGAACUGCCUACCACGGCUAACGACCUCCACCUGUCCGGGUUUGUUGUUCGGAGUUUUCCUUCUCCUAGGAGGACUGCCUACCACGGCUAACGAUCUCCACCUGUCCGGGUUUGUUGUUCGGAGUUUUCCUUCUCCUAGGAGGACUGCCUACCACGGCUAACGAUCCCCUCCUGCCCGGGUUUGUGGUCAGAGUUGUCCUUCUCCUAGGUGAACUGCCUUACGCUAACGACCUCCACCAGCCCGGGUUUGUAAUCGGAGUUUGCUCUCCUAGGUGAACUGCCUUACGCUAACGAGCUCCACCAGCCCGGGUUUGUUGUUCGGAGUUUGCUCUCCUAGGUGAACUGCCUUACGCUUACGACCUCCACCAGCCCGGGUUUGUAAUCAGAGUUUGCUCUCCUAGGUGAACUGCCUUACGCUAACGAGCUCCACCAGCCCGUGUUUGUUGUUCGGAGUUGUCCCUCUCCUAGGUGAACUGCCUACCACGGCUGACGAUCUCCACCUGCCCGGGUUUGUUGUUCGGAGUUGUCCCUCUCCUAGGUGAACUGCCUACCACGGCUGACGAUCUCCACCUGCCCGGGUUUGUUGUUCGGAGUUGUCC